CGGACUUCAUUUUCUUAUUUUGUUUCUCGGUUAAUGUGAUAUUUUCUCUCUGGCAUUCCAGAGUCUUCUCACCUACUCUCCUCCUUCUCUCUACUUUCUCUCUCUAUAAUCUGUAUGAUUCUCUCGUGUAAUCUUGAUAUUAACAUGGUAUCAGAGCCUCCUAGACGAUCCGAUCAUGUUUCUAAGUGUUCGUGUUCAUGGAUGAAGUCUGUAUCGAGGUUUUUGGGGGUGAUUUCUGAGACCGCUUCGUCAAUGAUGAUUUUUGUCCAUUGGAGACUUUUCUGAGUGUAUCCGAUUGUGUUUUUCUCUAUUAUACACUCCGGAAAGACUUUGUGAUGAUUUUGGACGGUUGAUUUUGAUGACUUUUCGGCUUCUAGGGUUUCUGACGGUUUGACCUACGGUUUUACCGCAUUCCGGUUGUUCGAUUGUCAUUCUUUGGACGGUUUGGGUGUUUUUCCGACCUCCUUCACCGACUCUCUGGUAAAGUUUUUGAUUUCCAAAAAUUUAGAUCUAGGGUUUGAGACCUAGGGUUUCCCUGUGUUUGAAGGCCGAUCUUCUCCGAUUGCGAAGAAGGAGGGUAACUCUGUGUCCUUCUUCUCGAUUUAUGUGUGCUUAUCUGACUUUGUAAUUGUGAAUAUCUGGUGGUAUCUUUGAUUACUUGACCUGAUUGUUGUUUAUCUGUUGGUUAUUGUGUUUGUACACUUGUUCUGCUGUUUGUUGACAAGUUAUUUGUCUAAGUCGGUUUUAUUAUGGCUUCUAGCACAAGUACUGGUGCGUCUAAUACUGUGGAUUCCUCUAGUCCACUUUUUCUGUAUUCAUCUGAUCUCCCUAGGGUACCUCUUGUCCCAUCCCAUUUUUGGGUACUGGUUAUGGAGGUUGGAGACGAAAAAUUCUUGUUGCCUUGUUAGCUAAAAAUAAAAUCAGCUUUGUUGAUGGCACCUAUGCCCGUCCUACUACCAAUGUUCCUCA
rnacentral:lncRNA from 1 species